rnacentral:rRNA from 1 species
GAUCCUGGCUCAGAAUCAACGCUGGCGGCGUGCCUCAAACAUGCAAGUCGUACGUGAAAGUCCUUCGGGAUGAGUAAAGUGGCGCACGGGUGAGUAACACGUGAGUUAUCUGCCUUUGGGUGGGGAAUACCAACCGGAAACGGUUGUUAAUACCGCAUAACGCUUGCGCUGUAAUGGCGUAUGUUAAAGCGGGGGAUCAGCAAUGACCUCGCGCCUGAAGAGGAGCUCGCGGCAGAUUAGGUAGUUGGUGAGGUAAUGGCUCACCAAGCCUGCGAUCUGUAACCGGCCUGAGAGGGCGGUCGGUCACACUGACACUGACAUACGGGUCAGACUCCUACGGGAGGCAGCAGUCGGGAAUUUUGGGCAAUGGGCGAAAGCCUGACCCAGCAACGCCGCGUGAAGGAUGAAGCAUUUCGGUGUGUAAACUUCGCAAGAAUAGGAAGAAUAAGUUUGAACAAAUAAUUCAAACGAUGACGGUACUAUUUAUAAGCUCCGGCUAACUUCGUGCCAGCAGCCGCGGUAAUACGAGGGGAGCAAGCGUUGUUCGGAUUUACUGGGCGUAAAGGGUGCGUAGGCGGCACCACAAGUCACUUGUGAAAUCUUUGGGCUUAACCCAAAGCGGCCAAGUGAUACUGUGGAGCUAGAGUGCAGAAGGGGCAACUGGAAUUCCCGGUGUAGCGGUGAAAUGCG